rnacentral:rRNA from 1 species
UACGUAGGGUCCGAGCGUUUGUCCGGAAUUACUGGGCGUAAAGAGCUCGUAGGUGGUUUGUCGCGUUGUUCGUGAAAACUCACAGCUCAACUGUGGGCGUGCGGGCGAUACGGGCAGACUAGAGUACUGCAGGGGAGACUGGAAUUCCUGGUGUAGCGGUGGAAUGCGCAGAUAUCAGGAGGAACACCGGUGGCGAAGGCGGGUCUCUGGGCCGAUACUGACGCUGAGGAGCGAAAGCGUGGGGAGCGAACAGG